AUUGAACGCUGGCGGCAGGCUUAACACAUGCAAGUCGAGCGAGCGGCGGACGGGUGAUUAAUGUCUGUGAAACUGCCUGAUGGAGGGGGAUAACUACUGGAAACGGUAGCUACUACCGCAUACCAUCAGAUGUUCCCAGAUGGGAUUAGCUAGUAGGUGGGGUAAUGGCUCACCUAGGCGACGAUGCCUAGCUGGUCUGAGAGGAUGACCAGCCACACUGGAACUGAGACACGGUCCAGACUCCUACGAGAGGCAGCAGUGGGGAAUAUUGGACAAUGGGCGAAGGCCUGAUGCAGCCAUGCCGCGUGGUUGAAGAAGGCCUUCGGGUUGUAAAGCACUAUCAGCGAGGAGGCGGUACUCGCAGAAGAAGCGCCGGCUAACUCCGUGCCAGCAGCCGCGGUAAUUC
rnacentral:rRNA from 1 species